UACGGUAGGGGGCGAGCGUUGUCCGGAGUUACUGGGCGUAAAGGGCAUGCAGGCGGUCGGACGCGUUUCGGCUGACAGCGGGUGGCUUCACUACCCGAGUGGUCGAAAGACGGUUUGACUUGAGGACGCGAGAGGGACACGGAAUUCCGGGUGGAGUGGUGAAAUGCGUAGAGAUCCGGAGGAACACCGAAGGCAAGGCA
rnacentral:rRNA from 1 species